rnacentral:rRNA from 1 species
AUGAACGCUAGCUACAGGCUUAACACAUGCAAGUCGAGGGGCAGCGGGAUUGAAGCUUGCUUCAAUUGCCGGCGACCGGCGCACGGGUGAGUAACGCGUAUCCAACCUUCCGCUUACUCGGGGAUAGCCUUUCGAAAGAAAGAUUAAUACCCGAUGGUAUCUUAAGCACGCAUGAGAUUAAGAUUAAAGAUUUAUCGGUAAGCGAUGGGGAUGCGUUCCAUUAGGCAGUUGGCGGGGUAACGGCCCACCAAACCUACGAUGGAUAGGGGUUCUGAGAGGAAGGUCCCCCACAUUGGAACUGAGACACGGUCCAAACUCCUACGGGAGGCAGCAGUGAGGAAUAUUGGUCAAUGGGCGAGAGCCUGAACCAGCCAAGUAGCGUGAAGGAUGACGGCCCUACGGGUUGUAAACUUCUUUUGUGCGGGAAUAAAGGAACCUACGUGUAGGUUUUUGCAUGUACCGUAACGAAUAAGCAUCGGCUAACUCCGUGCCAGCAGCCGCGGUAAUACGGAGGAUGCGAGCGUUAUCCGGAUUUAUUGGGUUUAAAGGGAGCGUAGACGGGUUUUUAAGUCAGCUGUGAAAGUUUGGGGCUCAACCUUAAAAUUGCAGUUGAAACUGGAGACCUUGAGUACGGUUGAGGCAGGCGGAAUUCGUGGUGUAGCGGUGAAAUGCUUAGAUAUCACGAAGAACCCCGAUUGCGAAGGCAGCCUGCUAAGCCGCCACUGACGUUGAGGCUCGAAAGUGCGGGUAUCAAACAGGAUUAGAUACCCUGGUAGUCCGCACGGUAAACGAUGGAUACUCGCUGUUGGCGAUAGACAGUCAGCGGCCAAGCGAAAGCGUUAAGUAUCCCACCUGGGGAGUACGCCGGCAACGGUGAAACUCAAAGGAAUUGACGGGGGCCCGCACAAGCAGUGGAGUAUGUGGUUUAAUUCGACGCAACGCGAAGAACCUUACCAAGUCUUGACAUCCCUUGACGAUGCUGGAAACAGUAUUUCUCUUCGGAGCAAGGAGACAGGUGGUGCAUGGUUGUCGUCAGCUCGUGCCGUGAGGUGUCGGCUUAAGUGCCAUAACGAGCGCAACCCUUGCUGCCAGUUACUAACAGGUCAUGCUGAGGACUCUGGCAGGACUGCCAUCGUAAGAUGCGAGGAAGGUGGGGAUGACGUCAAAUCAGCACGGCCCUUACGUCCGGGGCUACACACGUGUUACAAUGGGGAGUACAGAGGGCAGCUACCGGGCGACCGGAUGCGAAUCCCGAAAGCUCCUCUCAGUUCGGACUGGAGUCUGCAACCCGACUCCACGAAGCUGGAUUCGCUAGUAAUCGCGCAUCAGCCACGGCGCGGUGAAUACGUUCCCGGGCCUUGUACACACCGCCCGUCAAGCCAUGAAAGCCGGGGGUACCUGAAGUACGUAACCGCGAGGAUCGUCCUAGGGUAAAACCGGUAAUUGGGGCU